GAGUCUCACCAUCUGAGGAACUGCACCUCCCCUUCUAGUUUCAGAACCAAGCACUUUCUCUCUCCAAGCAGCUGCUGAAGAAGUGGGAAUACACACAAGGCCAGAGGAAGUUUGGACCUAGCUGCUUGGGGCUGUAGCCAUGGUCCCUCCUGGCUAUUCCUGUUUCCUCAAGAUUUCUCUGUGGGAAGAUGGAUAAAGAAGCAGCCUCAAGUUCCAGGGAAAAAGAAAGAAGUGUCAGAAGAACAUUCUAAUUGUUUUUUGUCUCUUGGAAACAGGGACUAUGUCUUUGUCUUUGUAAUUCCCCACUCUGUCCAGCAUAUACAGUGUCCAGCCCAAUUCACUGCACUUAGUAGACAUACAGAAAUGCUAAAAUGUCAUAA